rnacentral:lncRNA from 1 species
AACGUGCACUGCUUUUUCUGGAUUCGUACAUUCGGGCCUUCAGAAUUUGUGGGCGCCCAGAACAUGUGCGCUGACUUUUCUGACAUAGACAAAUGACGUGCGCCGUUUUCUCUAAGCGGAAUCAUUUUGGGCUUCCAGAAGAUUUGGGCGCCCAGAUUUCCAGUACGCACGCCGCCUGCGCCACGCCGCGUCACAACUUUUCGGGCUAAUUCGUCGUACUUUCCGUAACAUGCAACCUAUCAAGUCAAAUAAUUCAGUCGCCCUAAACAAACAUUCGGGCGCCUAGAUCAGGUAAAGAAAUUUUUAGACCACCCGAACAGC